rnacentral:ncRNA from 1 species
GCCAACAAGUUUACAGUUGGACUUAUGCGGAUAAAAACCGCGUAGUGAGUAGAACUCACAUUUGGCUCCAUAUAAGGAGAAACAAAAUG